UACAGAGGGUGCGAGCGUUAAUCGGAAUUACUGGGCGUAAAGCGUGCGUAGACGGUAGCGUAAGUCAGAUGUGAAAGCCCCGGGCUCAACCUGGGAACUGCAUUUGAGACUGCUCUGCUCGGGUGCGGAAGAGGGAAGCGGAAUUUCCGGUGUAGCGGUGAAAUGCGUAGAUAUCGGAAGGAACACCAGUGGCGAAAAGCGGCUUCCUGGUCCGACACCGACGUUCAGGCACGAAAGCGUGGGGAGCAAACAGG
rnacentral:rRNA from 1 species